CUCACUCCGUACUUACUGUUUGAAAUGGAUAAAACGGGAAAAAGCUGACAAAAAAAUCUUUGGACUCUUUUUUUAAUUCAGUAAUGAACAUAGUUGAUAUACGUAUUCAACAUUUUAAAGAACAUUUUAUUAUUAACAAUAACCACAAUAAACCUAUUUCUCGUAUCAAACAUAAACUAAAAGAACUAGCCAAGGAAUUUGUUUUUGUCCCGGCCGAUAAAGCUGCUAAUAAUAUUAUUAUUGUUUGACGUAAAUUUUACAUUGAGGUUCUGAAAAAAGAAAUUACCAAUUCACCAACAUUCCAACUGACUCCAUUUUCAGAAAUCGAC
rnacentral:lncRNA from 1 species